ACUGUAUCCAAGGCAACAGGGCAUCUCACUUGCGUGCUUCCCGCCGUUGAAGUUACUUGGUUAACGUUACGUUAGUUACUUGGUACUUUUACAAUAGGAUUUAACACGAUAGAUUUAGAAUAACGUUACUUAUCAACUUACAUAAUAAAAUAAAUUAUAAAUAAAAAUAUAAUUAUAUCAUAACUUUGCUAUAAAUAUCACUAACAAAUAUGUUUGCUUAUGUAAGAUAUAUAGAAGACGGGUGUAAAGAAAUCGUCCCUUUUUCUUACAUUAAGGAUUUUGACAGCAUCUGUGAUAAUAGCAAUAAGAUCUACUGGGUGCGCUGGCAGGAGGACUAUUUUAAAGGCCAAGUAUUGUUCCUGAAGGUCGAGAGAAGAAGUGGAAGAGGAGCUGUCCAAGGGGAAACGCGUCCGUGUGAGACGGCUGAAGGAAACCACACCCCCACCGGCAAGAAAAAGGAAGCCAAAAACAUAAAUACAAAUCAGAAAAAAGCAGCGGAAGAGGCAAAAAAAACAACCUCAUGGCCUUACUUAAGGAAUGAAAAAUGAAAAAAAGACUGUCUCCGCUCUGCCCACCUCCAAGCAAGAAAAUGAGAGAGCAUAUCUUAUCAGAUAUCUUCUCCGAAGCAGACGACAACGAUGAUGAUGAUGAUGGUGGGGUUGUUCCUCAAUGCAAAACAAAAACAACGCCUAUACCUCAAGAAAUUUAAUGAUUUGUCCCUUCAACUGCAGGAAACCAAAAAGUUGUUGGACCAGGAGAAGAUCACAGCAGCAGUCGAGGCUGAGAAUAGCACACUACGAGCGCUAAACAUACAACUGCAGCAACAUUUGCUGAAAUCACUGAACUCUGUGCAAUGCAAUGAUGUGCGGCUGAGUGAGGAGGACCGGGCUGCCUGUGACGCGCCCUUCACGCUCCAGGAGGUGGAGGCCGCCAUCGGAGGCUUGGGCCUAAACAAAAGCCCGGGGCUGGACGGCUUGUCGGGGGAACUGUAUCGGUCCUGCAAGGGGCGACUGGCUCCUGUGC